rnacentral:rRNA from 1 species
CCUACGGGAGGCUGCAGUGGGGAAUAGUGGACAAUGGGGGGAACCCUGAUCCAGCGACGCCGCGUGAGUGAAGAAGUAUUUCGGUAGGUAAAGCUCUAUCAGCAGGGAAGAAAAUGACGGUACCUGACUAAGAAGCCCCGGCUAACGACGUGCCAGCAGCCGCGGUAAGACGGAGGGGGCAAGCGUUAUCCGGAUUUACUGGGUGUAAAGGGAGCGCAGGCGGAAGAUCAAGUCAGCGGUAAAAUUGAGAGGCUCAACCUCUUCGAGCCGUUGAAACGGGUUUUCUGGAGUGCGCGAGAAGUAUGCGGCCUGCGUGGUGUAGCGGUGAACUGCCUCGCUAUCACGC